UGAAAACUGUGCAGCACAACUCUGCCCAAGAGAUCAAGAAAUCAAGGUCCAGCUUUCAGGAUGGCCCUAAGACUCAUCGCAGCAUGCAUUCACCAGUGAGACAGUUGUCAGGUGAUGAAUGCAAUGAAGCUAUAUCAGUGAUGAGGCACUCGAGUGACACAACCCUCGUCCAAGAAAAAAUGAAGGCAACAUUUCGGAAAAGACAAAAGGUUGUUCAAGACCCAGCCACAGCUUCCACUGUCCUAGACCUUUUUCCGAGAUUCCUCGACACACCAGGCUUGAUCGACCAAGACUUCAAUAUGCUCGUUGGUGAUGAAGUGACUGGUAAAUUCCUCGCUAAAUGGCCAACAUUCUUCAAACCGAAGAUCAUUGCGGAGUGCAAAAAUCUUCCUCGAAGUGUGCACGUGGAUGACCUCCUUUUGUCUGCUCAAUAGGAAUCUGAUGAUGAUGAUGGUGUAUGGGACUGUGAGGUUGCCGCCAUCUGCCUGUUGCUUCACCUGUUGCCUCCAACAUCCAAGGGCAAGAAGUCAGCAAAGAUCAGCGCAACGGAUGCUACUGUCUGCCUGGUGAAGUUCCUUAAGGUGGGGAGAAGCAUGGAGACCUUCCUGAAGGAAACUGGCCCUGCUCAGCCCUUUCUCCUGUGUGUUGGAGAACGAAAAAACAGCAUCCAGAAUUUCUACAUCAUCCUGGACCAAAAGGCCAUUCCCUCCAAGACGCAAACUGGAGUUGCUGCCUUUGACGAGCUCUUCAAGGCACAUUUAGCUUUUGCUGUGUCCUAUGAUGAGGCGCUGUGCAACUUCUACACCUUCAUCCAGACAACCAUGUAUGGCAUUGACGUUGGCAGUGUGAAGGAGACCCCUCGAGUGAAGGAAAUUCGAGUAAGACUUCUUCACAGUUCAUUUUGAAGAGUAACUAAUUUCUGACUUGAAAUGUUUACAUGUUACAUUUGCAAGGUACAGCACAGAAAUUGUUCAUCGUUGUGUCGACAUUUGAAGUUCCAGCAUGGAUUGUACCCAGGAAGGUCUUUGCGUUUGCGUUGUGGAGAGGCUGGUUGUUCAUUUGUUUUUUGCACAUACUUCGGUUACCAGCGGCACUUAUCUCGAGCACAUAAGGAUGGUGGUGAUUCAGAUUCCGUCAGUGAUGUUGAGUUUGUUCCUGCAACUAAUGUUGGAGCUUCUGUUUUACAACAAGUUAAUGUAGAUCCUCCUGCGACUGUCACUACACACAUUCCAAUGGAUCAAACGAAAAUACUAGACAUGUGCAGCUCUGUUAUUGCUCAACUGCAAUCCUCAGGAGUUCCUGAAAGUACGGUGCAGGGUUUAGUUGGUUCAAUGGAGGAACUGGUCGAUGACAUCCAUGCCCAUGCAAAAGAAACAUGACAAACAUUGUUGAAUGUUUGUCAUCUGAAGCAUCCGGAGACACAUUGAAAAAAGUUCAGGAUUGUUUUGGUCAGCUUGAAAAUCCAUUUUCAUCUCUUAACACAAAAUCUAAACGAAAGAAGCACUUAAAAGAAAAAUGGAAAAUAGUGGAACCAGUGGAGUAUAUUCUUGGUGUGCGUUUUGAUAAACGUAGAGCUAGAACAACAGGAACAUAUAGGCAAGUUCCUGUAAACGACAAGUUCAUGUACGUACCCAUCAUGGGGUCUCUUUCAUCUAUGUUUAGGAACGGGGAACUUUCUAACAGUUUCCAAAAAACUAAACCACACCAGGAGGGUUUUUACAGAGAUGUAAAUGAUGGCUCAUACUUCAGGAACCACAUUUUAUUCUCACAACAAGAAAAUGCUUUGCAGAUACAACUCUACUACGAUGAUUUUGAAACUGCUAAUCCAUUAGGCUCAAAAAGGGAAUUCACAAACUUGGCUGCAUUUAUUUUAUUUUGAGAAAUCUUUCCCCGAAGCUUAAUUGUGUGUUGAUGAACAUACAUCUUGUUGCCCUCUUUCACUCUGAGGAUUUAAAGAAAUAUGGGUUUGAUCCGAUUCUAAAGCCACUUCUCAAUGAUUUAAAGAUUUUAGAGGCUGAUGGAAUGCAGGUGCCCUUUCAACCCACACCUUUGAAAAGUUCAGUUUUUCAGGUUACAGGUGACAACUUGGCUAUACAUGGCCUUUUUGGUUUUGUCGAAUCGUUUAGUGCAAAGUACUGUUGUCGCUUUUGUUUAACUGAAAAGGGAGAGAUGCAAUCAGUUUUCAGUGAAGAUCAUCCAGGUUUAACUCUACGUUCUAAAGCCCUUCAUUCAGAACACUGUGCUGCCGUUCAACAAAAUCCAGCUUUGGCCUCAACAUUUGGUGUGAAAAAAGCAUGUCCUCUCAAUUCCCUCCAGCUGUUCCAUACGUCAGACAACUACGCAGUAGAUAUAAUGCAUGAUCUACUGGUAAGGAGAUGUGCAGUACGAGUUAAAGCUGGUGUUUCAGUACUUGAUAAAGAACUCAAUAAGCUCAUUAAGCUCAUUGUCAGAAAGAAUCAUGAGCUUUAACUAUGGAUUUACACAGAGAAAAAACAGGCCAAGUGGGGUAAAACUGGACGAUGAUAGCAACAAUCUUGGCCUUAGUGCUGUUCAGUCAUGGUGCCUCUUGCGCAAUACCCCAUUGAUGUUUGGAGAUUUAGUUAAGAGGAAUGAUAGCUGCUGGAACUUGCUGCUCCUCUUAAUACAAAUCGUUGACAUUGUCUUUUCACCUAUUGUAACCCAUGG